GACGAACGCUGGCGGCGUGCCUAACACAUGCAAGUCGAGCGAAGUUACUCCUUCGGGGAUAACUUAGCGGCGGACGGGUGAGUAACACGUGGGUAACCUGCCUUAUAGAGGGGGAUAGCCUACCGAAAGGAAGAUUAAUACCGCAUAACAUCAGAUUCUCGCAUGGGGAUUUGAUUAAAGGAGCAAUCCGCUAUAAGAUGGAGCCGCGGCUCAUUAGCUUGUUGGUGCGGUAACGGCUCACCAAGGCGACGAUGCGUAGCCGACCUGAGAGGGUGAUCGGCCACAUUGGGACUGAGACACGGCCCAGGCUCCUACGGGAGGCAGCAGUGGGGAAUAUUGCACAAUGGGGGAAACCCUGAUGCAGCAACGCCGCGUGAGUGAUGAAGGCCUUCGGGUUGUAAAGCUCUGUCUUUGGGGACGAUAAUGGCGGUACCCAAGGAGGAAGCCACGGCUAACUACGUGCCAGCCGCCGCUGUAAUAC
rnacentral:rRNA from 1 species